GGCUGCUUAGCUCAGUUGGUUUAAGAGCACCGCUCUCAUGAGGCGGGGGUCCGAGGUUCGAAUCCUCGAGCAGCCA
rnacentral:tRNA from 1 species